AGUGGGGAAUUUUGCGCAAUGGGCGAAAGCCUGACGCAGCAACGCCGCGUGUGUGAUGAAGGUCUUCGGAUUGUAAAGCACUUUCGACCGGGACGAAAACCCGCUGGCCAAUAUCCAGCGGCUUGACGGUACCGGGAGAAGAAGCACCGGCUAACUCUGUGCCAGCAGCCGCGGUAAUACAGAGGGUGCAAGCGUUGUUCGGAAUUAUUGGGCGUAAAGCGCGUGUAGGCGGCUUUGCAAGUCGGGUGUGAAAGCCCUCGGCUCAACCGAGGAAGUGCGCCCGAAACUGCAGAGCUUGAGUACCGGAGAGGAUGGCGGAAUUCCCCAAGUAGAGGUGAAAUUCGUAGAUAUGGGGAGGAACACCGGUGGCGAAGGCGGCCAUCUGGACGGAUACUGACGCUGAGACGCGAAAGCGUGGGGAGCAAA
rnacentral:rRNA from 1 species